rnacentral:rRNA from 1 species
GUGAGGAAUAUUGGUCAAUGGGCGAAAGCCUGAACCAGCCAUGUCGCGUGAAGGAUGAAGGUCCUAUGGAUUGUAAACUUCUUUUGCAGGAGGGUAAAGUGAGCUACGUGUAGUUCAUUGCAAGUACCCUGCGAAUAAGCAUCGGCUAACUCCGUGCCAGCAGCCGCGGUAAUACGGAGGAUGCGAGCGUUAUCCGGAUUUAUUGGGUUUAAAGGGUGCGUAGGCGGACUAAUUAGUCAGCGGUGAAAUUUUGCGGCUCAACCGUAAAACUGCCGUUGAAACUGUUAGUCUUGAGUGCGGUAGAGGUAGGCGGAAUGUGUGGUGUAGCGGUGAAAUGCUUAGAUAUCACACAGAACACCGAUUGCGUAGGCAGCUUACUGGAGCGCAACUGACGCUGAGGCACGAAAGCGUGGGGAUCGAACAGGAUUAGAUACCCCAGUAGUCC